GACGAACGCUGGCGGCGUGCCUAAUACAUGUAAGUUCAGUGAUGAAGAUUGGUGCUUGCACCAAUUUUAAGAGCAGCGAACGGGUGAGUGACGCGGGGGGUAUCUGCCUUCGAGCGGGGGACAACACUUGGAAACGAAUGCUAAUACCGCACAACAACUUUAUACAUACGUUUUAAGUUUGAAAGAUGCAAUUGCACCACUCAAAGAUGAUCCCGCGUUGUAUUAGCUAGUUGGUGAGGUACAGGCUCACCAAGCCGAUUAUACAUAGCCGACCUGAGAGGGUGAUCGGCCACAUUGGGAAGGAGACACGGCCCAAACUCGUACGGGAGGCAGCAGUAGGGAACCUUCGGCGAGGGACGAAAGUCUGGCAGGGAAACGCCGCGUGAGUGAAGAAGGGUAUCGGAUCGGAAAACUCGGUUGGUAGAGAAGAACGUUGGUGAGAGUGGAAAGCAGACCAAGUGACGGUGACUAACCAGAAGGGGACGACUAGGAAGGUG
rnacentral:rRNA from 1 species